rnacentral:rRNA from 1 species
ACGCUGGCGGCAGGCUUAACACAUGCAAGUCGAACGGUAACAGGGAUUAGCUUGCUAAUUUGCUGACGAGUGGCGGACGGGUGAGUAAUGCUUGGGAAUCUGGCUUAUGGAGGGGGAUAACUACGGGAAACUGUAGCUAAUACCGCGUAAUAUCGGAAGAUUAAAGGGUGGGACUUUCGAGCCACCUGCCAUAAGAUGAGCCCAAGUGGGAUUAGGUAGUUGGUUAGGUAAAGGCUGACCAAGCCGACGAUCUCUAGCUGGUCUGAGAGGAUGACCAGCCACACUGGAACUGAGACACGGUCCAGACUCCUACGGGAGGCAGCAGUGGGGAAUAUUGCACAAUGGGGGGAACCCUGAUGCAGCCAUGCCGCGUGAAUGAAGAAGGCCUUCGGGUUGUAAAGUUCUUUCGGUGACGAGGAAGGUUGAUAGGUUAAUAGCCUAUCAAAUUGACGUUAAUCACAGAAGAAGCACCGGCUAACUCCGUGCCAGCAGCCGCGGUAAUACGGGGGGUGCGAGCGUUAAUCGGAAUAACUGGGCGUAAAGGGCACGCAGGCGGUGACUUAAGUGAGAUGUGAAAGCCCCGAGCUUAACUUGGGAAUUGCAUUUCAUACUGGGUCGCUAGAGUACUUUAGGGAGGGGUAGAAUUCCACGUGUAGCGGUGAAAUGCGUAGAGAUGUGGAGGAAUACCGAAGGCGAAGGCAGCCCCUUGGGAAUGUACUGACGCUCAUGUGCGAAAGCGUGGGGAGCAAACAGGAUUAGAUACCCUGGUAGUCCACGCUGUAAACGAUGUCGAUUUGGGGAUUGGGCUUUGAGCUUGGUGCCCGUAGCUAACGUGAUAAAUCGACCGCCUGGGGAGUACGGCCGCAAGGUUAAAACUCAAAUGAAUUGACGGGGGCCCGCACAAGCGGU